rnacentral:ncRNA from 1 species
AGCAUACCUAUGAAAAGAAGAGUAAGUUAAGGACCUAUUUUAGAGACAUUUCGGUUGGUGAAAGAAAUGAGAUGGUGAUUAGCUGAAGAUGGUCUUGGAGGUUGUCUAGUCGAUAUGAGGCUGGGCCGGUAGCUGAACCGUUAAAAUCAGCGCCAAUCGUUUGGCGGUUGGUUUGAGGGAAGCUUUGGCUUCUGAACUAAAGGUGGUAACACGAUACGUCGUCCUUUUA